GUGUGACUGCGUACCUUUUGUAUAAUGGGUCAGCGACUUAUAUUCUGUAGCAAGGUUAACCGAAUAGGGGAGCCGAAGGGAAACCGAGUCUUAACUGGGCGUUAAGUUGCAGGGUAUAGACCCGAAACCCGGUGAUCUAGCCAUGGGCAGGUUGAAGGUUGGGUAACACUAACUGGAGGACCGAACCGACUAAUGUUGAAAAAUUAGCGGAUGACUUGUGGCUGGGGGUGAAAGGCCAAUCAAACCGGGAGAUAGCUGGUUCUCCCCGAAAGCUAUUUAGGUAGCGCCUCGUGAAUUCAUCUCCGGGGGUAGAGCACUGUUUCGGCAAGGGGGUCAUCCCGACUUACCAACCCGAUGCAAACUGCGAAUACCGGAGAAUGUUAUCACGGGAGACACACGGCGGGUGCUAACGUCCGUCGUGAAGAGGGAAACAACCCAGACCGCCAGCUAAGGUCCCAAAGUCAUGGUUAAGUGGGAAACGAUGUGGGAAGGCCCAGACAGCCAGGAUGUUGGCUUAGAAGCAGCCAUCAUUUAAAGAAAGCGUAAUAGCUCACUGGUCGAGUCGGCCUGCGCGGAAGAUGUAACGGGGCUAAACCAUGCACCGAAGCUGCGGCAGCGAC
rnacentral:rRNA from 1 species